rnacentral:rRNA from 1 species
UACGAAGGGGGCUAGCGUUGCUCGGAAUUACUGGGCGUAAAGGGAGCGUAGGCGGAUAGUUCAGUCAGAGGUGAAAGCCCAGGGCUCAACCUUGGAAUUGCCUUUGAUACUGGCUGUCUUGAGUAUGGGAGAGGUUAGCGGAACUCCGAGUGUAGAGGUGAAAUUCGUAGAUAUUCGGAAGAACACCAGUGGCGAAGGCGGCUAACUGGCCCAUUACUGACGCUGAGGCUCGAAAGCGUGGGGAGCAAACAGGAUUAGAAACCCUAGUAGUCC